rnacentral:rRNA from 1 species
GUCGAGAAUAAUUCACAAUGGGGGAAACCCUGAUGGUGCAACGCCGCGUGGAGGAUGAAGGUCUUCGGAUUGUAAACUCCUGUCAUCGGGGAGUAAGACCUGGGCGUGAAUAGCGCACAGGGUUGAUAGUACCCGAAGAGGAAGGGACGGCUAACUUCGUGCCAGCAGCCGCGGUAAUACGAAGGUCCCAAGCGUUGUUCGGAAUCACUGGGCGUAAAGGGAGCGUAGGCGGCGUGGUAAGUCAGAUGUGAAAUCCCGGGGCUCAACCCCGGAACUGCAUCCGAUACUGCCGUGCUUGAGGGUUGGAGAGGUAGCUGGAAUUAUCGGUGUAGCAGUGAAAUGCGUGGAUAUCGAUAGGAACACUCGUGGCGAAGGCGAGCUACUGGACAACAUCUGACGCUGAGGCUCGAAGGCUAGGGGAGCAAAAGGGAUUAGAAACCCGGGUAGUCC